rfam:Gossypium hirsutum cultivar TM-1 unplaced genomic scaffold scaffold5142.1, whole genome shotgun sequence
UGGUAAAAAAUUUAUCUAUUUGUAUUGUUAAAAACCUGCGUGGCUGACGAAAUAACCAUAUAACGACACAUGACAUGUCAUGUGUACCUCAUGCUGAUGUACAAUAACAAAAUUUUAACAGUAGAAAUAGAUUGUAUUUUUAACA